CUGACAUCUUGAAGAUCAUGUCUGCUGUGAGGAUGGAGAACCGCAACUUAGGUGUCAGCUUUGGCCCAAAAGAUGCUUUAUUCCAGGUACAUGAACAAAAUGAUUCUCUAGCUGCAGUGGCCUGUGGGCUUGGUGGAGGUUCACUUGUGAAUGCAGGAGUGAUGCUGCCAACCCCAGUUCGAGCCAGAAGGAAUCCCAAGUGGCCAAAGGAAUGGGAAAAGGAUUGGGAUAAUUGUGAAGCUUCUGCUGCAGCCAUGCUGAGAAUACAAAGUGUUCCUGUCAAGUUUCCUGUUGCCAAAGUCUUGGGAGAAAUAUUAGGUGAUGGACAGAUUGAAAAAAGUUUUGAGACUUCAUUACAGCUAAGCAUGAAUUUUGGUCUUGAAGAGCCUGCAUCAAAUUAAGUGAAGCCUCAAAGAGUUGAUAGCUGCUUAGCCUGUGGAAACUGUCUUGCUGGAUGUCCUUAUAAUGCCAAAAGUUCUACCGACAAAAACUAUAUACUUUCGGCAAUCCAGGCAUGAUGUCAUGUUAUAACAGAAUGUGAAGUUCAGUAUGUUGUUAAGAACCCAUAUGAAAUUUGCCGAGAAGAAGGCAUAAUUGGCAGAAAGAGAAGAAGAUGGCAUGUUUACUUGAAUGAGAUUGACUUUAUUACUGCUGAUUAUGUAGACAUCUCAGGGGGGGUUUUGGGCACAACUGAGAUACUUUUCCGAUCACAAAUGGGAGGAUUGAAACUUUCAGAUGCACUUGGGUCUGGAUUCAGCUGUAAUGGGAAUACUGUGGCUUAUCUUGCUGGAAGCCAAGCACCCUUGAGUGCUUACGGAUUGAAGGGAAAGCAACUCUCAAAGAUACCAUUUGAAGAAAGGCCAGGGCCAUCCAUUUCUUCAUCUUAUAUAUCUUCGUUGGGAUUCACAAUCCAGAGUGCUGUACUUCCAACAGCUUACCCCUACCUGCUGUUUAAAGGGAUCACGACUUACGGUUGGCCAACUGGAUCCUGGUUCUUUCAUGGGAUAAUUGACAAGAUAAAACACAUAACAGGUUUUAAAGCAAGCCAAGCAAUGAUUCUUAAUGCAAUGGGAUAUGAUGACAGUGACGGGAAAAUUACAUUUGAUAAGGACAGGAAUAGAAUCUGCUUUAGUCCACCUCACGAUCCUUUACUCCCUAGGAAAAUCAAUGCCUUUCAGAAGCUCACUAGGAAAUUAGGAGGAAUACUCUUCAUGUCAAGGUAUCGAAGCACAUCAGUACAUCUUUUAGGUGGUUGCAAUGCAUCAUCUGACCGUCCAUGUGGUGUUUGUAACCCGAGUGGUCAGGUUUUUGACCCAGAAGGUCCCACCAGUACUGUACACACCGGCCUCUAUGUCUGUGACGCUUCUUUAAUCCCAUGUUCUGUUGGCAUAAACCCAUCUCUUACUAUUGCAACUGUGGCCGAGUCCGUAAGUAGGCACCUUGUGAGGGAUGUUCUCAAGUACAAGAGCAGUAUUGAAAUUCCUGUUAAAAAUGUACAUCAAGAUCCACAUUAUAUCACUGACAAGAAUAUAAAGAGUGAUUGGAGAUCAACGGUCACUUUUAAUGAAACCAUGGAGGGAUAUGUAGGGGGUAUGCCAUGCACAGCUUAUCUGAAAGUGAAGAUGAACUCUCAAGAUCAUAAGGGGAAAUGGGGUGUCAGAGAAUGUCAUCCUCUUUUAAGAGGAAAAGUUGGUGGAUAUGUGGAAUUUAGAGCCUUUGAGAAGGAUAAAUUACAUAUUAUAGAUGGGAAAAUAAAUUUGUGUAAAGUAGAAUGCAGAACUCCUUACACACAGUAUAUGCAUUAUCAUCUUCUCCUUGCAGCUUCCUCUGGUUCAAGAUAUAUUCUUGAGGGAAGGAAGAUAAUGAAUCCUUAUCUCUUUGGAUUAUAUGCUUGGAGGGAGACAACAACACUGCAUGUGACAUUUAAAAAAGUUGUUGAGAACAAUUCAAGGGAAGACAUGGUGAAUCAAAAAGGCAAGCUUUGUAUCUCCAUGGUACAGCUUUUGAAGAGCAUCUUAAGCCUUGAAGGAAACGAGAGAGGGAGGUUCAUACGUCAUCUAUUACACACUCUCCUAAGAACCUAUUUUUUACAGAUACCACGACAGAGUCACAAGGACUUCAUCUUAUCGGAUUCGUAUGUUAAACCUUAUGGUCCUCAUCCAAGCAGCACCCUCCAUGAAAUACAAUCAGAAGAUGGAUCUUUUAUCAGUUGCAGGCAAUGGAAGUGCACCCAAAAUCCAUCGAGACUUGAAGGACCAAAACAACUAAAUCCAGUUCUCCUUCUUAAUGGUCAUUCUACUGAGAGUUACUGUUGCCAACAGAACCAAAUGAUUUAGUCAGAACUUUACUGGAAGAAGGCCAUGAAACAUGGCUACUGCAACCAAGGUUGCACCCUUUGAAUCCUUCAAAGGACUUCACAAUUGAAGAUAUUGGAAGAUUUGAUGUCCCAGCUGCAAUAAAUAAGAUCCUUGAAUUACAUGGGCAGCAUACAGUAAUACAUGUAGUUGCACAUUGUGUUGGAGGCUUAGCCAUGCAUAUAGCUCUCAUGGGGGGGCAUGUAUCUGCAACCCAUAUAGCUUCCCUGUCUUGCACCAAUUCUUCAAUGUUCUUUAAGCUUAACGCUUCAUCAAUGUUCAAAAUGUGGCGUCCUCUGCUCCCACUUUCCAUGGUUAUACUAGGCCAAGAACAAAAUCCUGCCUCUGUUGGAAACAUCAAAGUGCAGUUUCCGUCAUCGGCUCUUGAAAUUUAUUGCCCGCUUGAUACCACGGCAUGAGAGAUGCACCUGCAACGAGUGUGAGGUUUUUGCUGGUAUAUUUGGAAGCACAUUCUGGCAUGGAAACGUAAGCCCCAGCAUGCACUACUGGUUAAAUAAAGAGAAUUUGACAAGGCUUCCCAUGGCAGCAUUUCCCCACCUCAGAAAAAUAUGCAAAGCAGGUUUCAUUGUAGACAGCAAUGGCAACGACAAAUAUUUGAUCCAUUAUGAGAGAAUGGCGCUCUCUACUCUUUAUAUUUCAGGAGGGCGGAGUCUCCUUGUGACCCCAAAGACUUCAUUACUUGCUAACAAGUACAUGAAGUUACACAGCCUGGCUUUAGACAUGAGAGAGUUGUUGUGGAGGGUUUUGGGCAUUCUGACCUUUUGAUUGGAGAAGAGUCUGAUAAGAAGGUUUUUCCUCACAUUUUGUCUCAUAUCAGAUCAGCUGAAGGAGGAAAUGGUGCAAUCAGAGCUCCGGGAAGGAAGUACACUAAAGAGGCAGCCUUGGAGUGGGAAGAUGAUACAUACGAAGAAUAUGGAGGGUUUGACAGUUGGUUUUCUCCUUUAGUUGUUGUUUUGAUGUUUUUCUUCUUGUUUCUGAUCAUGUUAGUUUCAUAAUACUUGUAACUUGUGGCAAUGGUUUGUGAAGUGGGAAACAAUCCUUGACCAUGUAGUCGAAUGAUGUAAUAAUUCUUUAGACUUCUCUGAAAACUAUAUGCUUCUCACAUACUCAAAGUACAUAUGAUAAUAUAUAUCGA